ACAGUAUGUGGGAAUUAUGGGAGCUAUAAUUCAAGAUGAGAUUUGGGUGGGACACAGCCAAACCAUAUCACUAGGUAAGAAGAGGGCUCCAUGCUAAGGAACAGGAUAUGCAAAGACCCUGUGGCAGGAGGAACUCUACCUGCUUUUUUGAAGAAUUCCAUAAGGUAGCCUUCAGUGGAGCUGAGUAGAGAGUGGGGGAGAGUGGGCUAAAACAUGAGGGGAGAAGUAGGCAAAAGCUAAAUCUCAUCAGGACCUUAUAGACAAUUGACAGAUGUUUGUCUUUAUCCAGUAAGGUGUUUGUAUGCUCCUUAAGUGGCAGCGGGGAGUGAGCAGAGCAGUGAAGAUAAACAUGAAAGCUGGUGGUAACAAAUUCUGAUACCUCCUCUAUUCCAAAAGGAAAGGCAGAACUCAGAGGCACCAUCCUCCUGUUGUGUUUGCAAGCUGUUGACACAACCUGGAAAGGUUAAAAGUUUUCAACAGACUUGUCAGAGUUUGUGUUCAAUGGAAACUGACAGAGCCUACCGGCUGAGGGGCUAAUUUUAAUAGAAAUAACCUAGGUGCGUUUGUUAAUUUUCUCCGUUCCCUCAAUGACCUGUCUGCAUAGCGUGAAGGUGCUUUGAUGUGACCAGGAGAACAGAAGGAUAUUUUGUGCAUAGCUGACCGUGAGAGGAAUGCUGGUUUUGCAAUGAGGAAGCACAGGAAGAUGACAGAACAAUGAGCAUAAGACAUGCUGGGUGCAUUUUUUGGACCUUACCACAUCUUGUUUGAGAGAAGUGGGACCAAUGCUGAUGAAACUCUUUCCCAUGGUGUGUUCUAUAUUCAUUGGAUGGGCAUCGCCUACGGCUGGAGCAGGGCUGAGCUCUGUACUGGUGUCUCUUAAAACACACCAGACAGCAACAGCUGAGAUACCUACUACCUGGAUCUGCUUGAUUAGAUCAUACGGUCAUAUUUGAUUACUUAGAAUGGGCUUCUGGAGGAUCUGUUGCUGAUUGCACUGAAACCAGAAGUUGUACUUGGCCAAGGACGAGCUAACCCCAAACAGCAAGAGGUUUGAGUUGGCUCCAAAGCACAAGCCUCACAAAUAUCCCGAAGUACAAUCUCCAGAAAACUGAAACUCCAGCUUUUCCUCCUUGAUCGUAGCUUAUUUUUCUUGGCUAACUUCAGAAAAUUCUUCAAGCCAGGAGGCUUUCUAAGCUUACUCCUGAUGCAGUUAAAACUCAAAGGUUUCUGGAAGCCAAUGAAAAUCCUCACCUCUGACUGAAAUGGAAUUUCAAGGGAAAGAAAAUACAACGUAUUUUAUGAGGUCAGGUCUCCCAUAAGGUGUUAAAGGCAUUGUUCAGAGGUGCCACCUAGCAACUUCUCCCAGAACAAAAGAUUAGCCAUAGGUACUUCUUGUGUCUGGUUUUUGAGUUUAAAAUAGGAACAGGCAAAGGAUGCAUUUGGCAGCAUCCUUCAUCUAUUCCUGUUUAAACUUCUAUCAAUAAAAGUUUAGUUCUAUUAAUAAACAUGUCUCUUGACUUUGUUGUGAAAUAGAAUUGGUGAAGGCACAAAGUGGCUUAUUUUACUACUUAUGAGGCAGGCGUAUUAUAUAUGACAUAGACCAACUGGAAUUAUGGAUGGUAUUUCAUAAAAUAGUGUCAAAGAUUGCAGGCCAGGGAGACAGAAAGAAGUAUACUUGAUUUUCUUGAGAGUCACUUUGCACUUAAAUACCCAAAUACCGAAAGUUUAAACACAUUUUCAUGAUUCCUUUGUAUAAAAAGUGAACAGAAUGGCUACCGUUGUAAUUUUGCUGCUUCUAGCAAUUCACCAGCAAAAUACAUCCCAAAAUAGCAGAUAUACAAUGCAGCAUAUGCUUUGGUGAAUCUAAUAAUUUCGUGAACUCGUUCGCUGUUGGGCUGGUAAUCUACAUAGCUUUAACGGUGAACUUUAUAAAAUUCGGAGCCUCAUGCAUCAGAAGGUAAAAAACAAAAGUGGACAGUUUUAACAACGAUGGAUGAGUUGCUAGGGAAUAAAAUUAAAUGGUUGAUAAUAAUUGUGGUAGCUCACGAAGACUGAUGUUAUUUACAAAAGCUCCAUUUUGCAUGUAAUCAGAUGUCUAUUCCCAUGAGCUGGGUCAUAAUUCAUAUUCCACUUUAAUGUUCAUGGAAAAUGUGCUUCUCUCUGUGUACGUAUUAUUUUUAGGAUGUUAUGUUUCCUUGGUGCAUACACAAUGAGCCUGAAAUCCUUUAGGAAUGUGUUUAAUUUGAAAGUUUUAUCCUCUGGGCCUGGUUAAUUCAAAUACAUGGCUAGGAACAUUAUUGUAGGCCCUGAAAGAAUGUAGGCAUGGCAAAUUAUGUGCAUAAAGGCAACUCCAACCCAUGUUGCCAACGCUCAUUUGGUAAAAGGUAGUGAGGAGGAUUAUUUUUUCCUUCCAAACUUUUUUCUUCAUCCACUCAUUUAAUUUUUCUGCACUAAUUCUUUACGUUAAUAAGCUUGAUUUACACUGGACCAGAUUUCUUCUACUUUUAAACUCAGAACCGUGUCUGGUGGCUCUUUUGUAUUAAAAUCAUCAGCCCAGGGAGCUUUUACGAACUUAUGUCCUCAGUCCACAAGGUGUCCUGUGUUCACCCUUAUAUUCUCUUCUAUCCUUAGUCACAAAGACUGUCUGAGUCGCAUUUUCAUCUCUAGAAACUGGAAGAAGUUCUAAGAGUGUGAGGUAAUGACUCAAGGACAACAGCUCCCAGAAAAUAACAGGGUUUGCCCUGCUGCUUUGGAGGAGGUUCUCCUGAAUCAUGUCACUGAAGCACAGCUAGGGCCCGGGACCUGGGACCACAGCCCUUGAAGGGAAUGAGCGGCUGUCUGGGGGCUGAAAGUUCUCUCAGGAGAGGCGUUUUCACAAGGCUUUGUGAUACCGAGCCUCAGGCGUGGACAGAGACGUGUUUUAGGAUUUGAGAAGCCUGUGGAGAAAUUAAGUCAUGUCCCAGUGUACAGUGCUAUGCCAUAAGAAUGGCUAGAACUUUCAGGGGCAUCCUGGAGCUUGACCCUGGCUCAUCAUUUUAUACAUGAAGGGGCUUUGGGUCACGGAGGCAUGGGUUUGCGUCCUGUCUGUUUGAUUCAUUAGAUAUGUGAUCUGGGCCUAAAACUUCGGAGAUCUUAAACACCGAAAACCUUGGGGCACUUUUGCCUUGCUCCCAACCAUGAAAUACAAAAACCAAAGCAAAACAAACAAAAAGUAAGCCAGAAGAUAUAAAAUUGCUUAUAGGUCUGUUGUCUAACAUCAAGUGCGGAAAGGGGUCUAACAAAUUUCCAGCUGGGUGCGGUGGCUCACACCUUUAAUCCCAGCACUUUGGGAGGCUGAGGCAGGCAGAUUGCUUGAGCUCAA
rnacentral:lncRNA from 1 species